UUAGAAACCGAAUAAAUCAGCGACGGGACUCCAAGGGGAGCACAUUGACUAGAAAUUGACCAGAAGAGAAAACCUUGCGUCCAGCAGAGACCGUCGUGAUGAAGCACCUCCUGUUGCUGCUCCUGGUGGCUGUGGCCUACGCCAAAGUCUACUAUCGCUGUGAAUGGGCGAGAACGCUGAAAACCUACGGCAUGGAUGGUUAUCGUGGCGUCAGCCUGGCCGACUGGGUCUGUCUGACCGAGCACUCAUCCGGCUUCAAUACCAACGCGACCACCCCUGCCAAACGUAGCUCGACUGACUACGGCAUCUUCCAGAUCAACAGCGCCGCCUGGUGCGACGACGGUCAGACCCAAACCAUCAACGGCUGUGGGAUUAGCUGCAGCGACCUCAUGGCAGACGUGGGCGAUUCGAUCUGCUGUGCCAAACGCAUCGUCAGAGGUCCUCAAGGCCUCGAAGCAUGGUACAAAUGGAUUUCUAACUGCAAGGGCAGAGACUUAAACGGCACGUUGACCGGUUGCGACGUCUGACCUGGAAGAGACAGAACAUCUGAAUAAAGAUUUCCAAAUCUGCUUCCAUUCCAUGGGCCUCAGGAGCAAGACCGAUUGAGUGAGGAGUUUCUUGUCUAUCAGUUAAUGGACAUCCCAAUACCAGAUCCUGUAGCAUUUGACAUUGAAGGUUUUUGGGAGACCAUGUCAUCACUUCAGAAUAGGGUGACUGGUAUGGACAGAUUUAAACGGCUGUCCACCAUUUCCCGACUUGUUCUUGUACUUCCCCACUCCAAUGCUGAUGCAGAGAGAGGUUUUUUUCUAUGGUUGGCAUGAACAAGAUAAAGAGCAGCAACAGCUUGGCACUGGAUGGCACCUUAUCAUCAAUAAUGACUGUGAAAAUGGCCGGACUGGAGCCUGCAUGUUCUAAAUAGGAGCCCCAAAACGCUGUGAUUUAAAAAAGCAAAAACUGCUACGAGCACAUACAACAUGAUUCAUAAAGAUGUAUAAAAGAUAAAAACACAUACAGAGUAACUUAUGCUGUGUGUGAAUAAGAGUUAAGGGACUGUGUGUGUUCAUUUUGUUGUAAAAGAAUGUUAUUAAAGAAGUUAUAGUCUGUUUAUUCA